rnacentral:lncRNA from 1 species
CUCUGUUCAUACGCAACUGAUUGUCCUACAGUACAGUGCAAGAAGUCCAAGUGCCGUGGAUCGGAUUAACUCGAACACAACAAGAACAUCUACUUCUAUUGUACAGGUAAUGCGAAUAUGGCGACCUUUUAUUGGCACUAAUAUACCACUAUUGCUAUUUUUAUCGUAUUGAUUCUAAAUUUUAAAAUGGUUCUGCAGUUUUGACAAUUGAUGUCGAUCAAAAGAACACUGUCACUGUUCAAUAUUUGUAAACGAGAACGGAGACAACUGUAAUCACACAGUGCUACUUCUUGAUUAAAUACUUUACAAUGUUCAGUUUAAAAUCAUUUUGUAUUCAUAUUUUAAUUUUGCUUUAAAUUGUGAAAUGAUCAGUUUCCUCAAUUGGGAUGGAUAAAAAACACUAUUCAACAUUUUACGAAAACUGCAAUCACACAGUGUUAUGGUUAAUAGUGAGUGUUUACGGCUGAAGAUCGUUUGAAUUUCUAACUUAAAUCCUAAAACCGUUAAUUUUUUAAACGGUUCAGUUUUUUCAAUGGUGUUGAUAAACAAUUUACCGGCAACGAACAUCAAAGACAAAGCGAGAAUUGAAAUUGUACAUGCUAUAAACAAUGCAAGUAACUCUCAGUAAUGAAACUUGUGAAAAGUGGAAACGUGUUUUUUCAAAGAUGCGUGAAUCGCAUUCUAUACUGCGUUAAAUUUCGAUGAAUCAAAACAUUGAGUGUAGCGAUGAAUCAAAACAUUUAGUGUAGUAAGUGUAUACCAAAGCUCUUACAGCUUCUAUACUUACAGACGAAACUAUUAUGCAUCGCCUUGAAAUGUAUGUCUCCUUUGACUUGUGUUCUUGAGUUCAAUUAUAAAAAGAUUGAACUUAUUAUCACGUUUUAAAAGCUCCUAAUUUGUCUAAGACUAACUACAUUGCCGUUGGUAGCGUGAAUCAGCGAUUUAUUUCCCCACCUUUGUACAAAAACGGAAAAGGCGAGGCAUUAGAUGUACAAAUGUCUAAUGAUUUCAGCGUAUUGUUUCACAUGCACAUAAUGGUGUUCUCACGCAAGCUAGGUAUAGAUGUUUUCAUCACCUUUCUAAUUUUACCUCAACAUAUAUUAUUGAAUCAGUAUGUACCCGCACAGUAUGUACAUGUCUGUACGGCCCCUGAGAUAUUAUUCUGAACAGAGAACCGAAUCGUAAAGUUUUCGAUUAAACCCGAAUCUUCAGCGCAUGCUCACUAGUAAGUGCACUCGAUCUUUACACCACAUAAAUAUAUAUAGCCCGGCCAAGCUGUUUAAUAUAUGCUAGUUAAAAAUAAUCAUCACACGAUCUUUACCACAUAUGAUAUUAGUUAACAUUAAGUAUAUCUAUAAUCUCUCAACUCAGGUGGCCCAGUUAAAUUUAGCUCAAACACCCAGCCUGCGAACAACAUGUAAUUAGCAUGCUACUGCACUGUUAAAAGCUGUUGGGUUGAGCCGUAAUAACUAUUAUAAUACUGACUAUCGCAAGAAACUCUCAAGUAUAUUUUUUGUACGAUAUAAGAAAAUUUUGCUUUCGGUUUAUUGGCUCACACAUCGUUUUCCAAACAAUUCCCCUGUGAAUAAUAAAUGACACCUGCGAGCUCUAAUAUUCCCAUGCAUGGUAAUUAAUUGAUGCAUCUCGGCGCAAUCGUUGAUAAACGAAUAUCAAUCGAAACAUUCACAAACGAAUCUUGGCGGGGAUUCAUGUGUACCUCUAUAUAAAAAAUAGCCGCAUCUUGACAUGGAGUGUGGGAAAUAGUAGCAUGAUGCAUUUAUCAAUUCACUCAAGGGCUAAGUAUAUUAAUAAAAUAUACAGCGUGAGCGACCGACGUGUUGACUGUUGUAUAAGAUACAAACACGCGCAUGUUUAUCUCCUUCCUCUUCUUGGCUCGCCUUAUACAUUUAACCUAUAACUGCUGUAACCGUACGAAUUCCCAUGCGUGGUGAACAAAUGGAAUAGUGCAGGUCGGGUAUUAUAACGCGCAUGUUAAUACAUACGUGCAUGCAUGAUUUGAGGAUAUUAUUUGUGGCCCUACCCAUUGCAUGCACGCAUUGUAUUAGUUUAUACUUAAUUAUAAUCCAGAAAAACCUCAAUUGCCAAUUAGCUGAUUAAGAUUCUAAAUUAAGACUGUUGAUUGUUUCAACUUCUGAAAGAAACCGCCUUGUUAACUAAUUGUGGUUUGAAAGACUUGGAAACCUGGCGAAUCAUGUAUUGUUUAUCGGCAUGAGAGUUUUACCCCACAGUCAAAAAUAUCUUUAUAAAUUGCAUGCUAUAUCCAAUUUUCAAUUUGAGAAUUAUUCUAUUUUGGCCAAGAUCUAAUUAGUUGUAUUAGACAUAACUACAACAUCCAUGCACAUAUUAUAGCCUAUAGUAUAGGGUAUAUAUACUAGCAUUGCUAGUUCAAACUUAUUCGAACUUUGGAAAAUCAUAGGUGGUGACCGGCAUAAUAGACUGCGAAGCAGUCGCUAUAUAACGUAAACGUUUAACGCAGACUUAAUUGUGCCUUUGCCAUUGGUAACUCAUAAGAGUCAGGACAAUAGCUGUUACCUAAGAGGCCUCAUUAAAUACUUGAAAUAAUGAUCAAACUGUCGCAAGAGAAAAUCGAAAGAAGACAUUAUAGUGUUCACCACUUCUAUAAUUUAGACAAAAACGUUUUCUUCACAAAAUAGUGAUUUUCCCUUUUUCAUCCUAUUUUAUACAUCAUGAAGACAAAUGUAAACUAUCGGAUGGUUAAUUAUAACGUGCAGUACAUUAAAAUUACGUAAACCGAGUAAAAAACAGUUACUGAAUGGCAUGGAGAUCAGUUAUGUCGUUCAAAAGAACGAAAAAACAGUGGAACGUUCUUAUCAUUAGACGAUAAAUAGCAAAAUACUGCCAUGUUUUGUGAGUUGGCUUCCUUAAUUAAACAACCGUUAUCAAUGUUUGUGACUCGUUCUCCGCAAAAUUUAUUCUGUAGUUUUAAUGUGUUUCAUUGUUGUAAUCAAUCACAGAACCUGGCUAUCCGCUUCGAGAUGACUCUCACUGGAUCGAGCUUAAGGGACCGGUCAUUAUUAAUAGUGGGAGUGGGACCGAAGAGAAAAUGGUUGCAUGGGUCAAGAAAAAAUGCUGGAUGACCAAGGUUGGGUUAAGAAAAAAUUGAAUAGCCAUGGGGGUUGGGUAAAAAAAUUCUUUAAAUAGAAAAAUACACUCAUUUAGCAUGGUGGGGUGGGUCAAAGAAACUAAUAGACAUCAGUUGGGUGGGUGAGAAAAAAUCUGGAACUGUGAAAGGUCGGGUAACUAGUUUUUUUAUAUCAUGAGAGUUUCUCUUCGGUCCCACCCCUACUAUUAAUAAUGAGCGAUCCCUAAUGGUUCCAAUCAUAUUCGUGACUUGAAGAUCGUAUAGCCAUAGUUAAUAUUAUCCUUGUCAUAGCAGUUGCAUAGCAUUUUACUUAAUAGGCUGGGCAAGACGUGUGGAUUACUGUUAAAAAUGCUUGCUAAGUAAUGAAGAACAAAUAAUACAUUCCAAACUCGUGCUAUAUGAUUUGGUCGGAAACCACAUUAAUACAUUCCAAACUCGUGCUAUAUGAUUUGGUCGGAAACCACAUUACGUCGUGAAUAUCAUCAACAGUAUAUUUUCCCAUAACCUCCCCACUUGACCGCCAGGUUAUCUCUAUCUAGACUAUGGUUUGCUGACUUGUCUGAAAUAAUACGGAGGUCGCACUCCCACGUAAAAUUGACCUAGAUUGACGUUGAGUAAAAUUGCCGAAAUGCUGACUCAUUCAAAUGGAACCGCGGUGUCACAAUAGUGAAAAUCUCCAGUCACGUUCAUUUUGAAUGUUUUGUUGUCUUCUCUACUUCUGAUUGUCUUGACUGACUGGACUACUUUUUAUAUUAAUCUCAAAGAAAGGAAUAGAAUAGAACAGAAUAAAGUGGAAUAGAACAGAAUAAAGUGGAAUAGAACAGAAUGUAGUAGAAUACCAUGGAAUGGAAUGGAAUAGAAUAAAAUGGAAUUUCGUAGAACUUCGCAUUUCCAUCUACCUUGUUAAUUUAAUCUUCAAUGAACAAAACUUACAUUGUUUGUAAUUUCCUCAGAUGUAUACAACUCUUUAAAUUUCAUGUCUUUUAUCAGUUAACGUUAAAAUUCAACUUCUUUCAAAAUCUCGGCAUUGCAUUAUACAGUUCGAUGCGUACGGUAAUCAAAUGAACAAAGUAGUAUUGACUAUUGUACAGUGUACUAUAUGGAUAACACUUUGACACACGGUGUGUAUAAAAAAAAUGGAUUCAAACAUAAAAUUCGAAAAGCAUUAUCUGAUAAAGCAAACCGUUUGUGUUUACACUCAGCUACUUUUGAAAGCUAUACUAUUUAGCUAGUUUGAAAUUUGAUCGAUUGGUUCGUAGAAAAAUAGUUUUUUAUGUGAUUGGGAUUAGAUUGGAGAAUAAAAAAUUAUGAUACAAUAGUCAAUACCAAAUCGAAGUACUCUCGCUUAAAUUGUCAAAAAAACUCGGAAAAAUUAAAGCGUUUUGGCACUUGUUCAUGACAAAACUACGGAAUUCUCAUGUGCACUGGUAUUUUUAGUUCAUUUACUAACUUUUAUGCGAUUCGAUGGCGUUUUUUUUCCGACGAUAGACGUUUACUUAGUAACAUUAUUAGCUCUGAUGAAGAUGCGGGCUUACAGAUUGAAAGGGCUUUGCAAUAAUAAGUAUAAUAGUGUAAGUCCACCUUAAAAUAGUGCGUUAUUUUCUAUAUUUUCUCCUGUACCAUUAUCACUUGCAUUUUAGAAAUGACCCCUUGUUCGAAAGAAGAACGAACGCGAAGCUUUAAAAUAAAACUAUAUAAGGAGUGGUAUUCGGAAAAUUAUUAACCAUAAAAGAUGGACUCUAUUUUUUUAUACUGUAGUCUGUAUAUAUAUACUGUAUACUUCAUUUGAUCCCAAUACUGAAGCGUAAGAAUUGGCGAUUAAGCAUGGAUCCUGUAAUUUCUUCAAUAUUUGCUGUUUUUCAGUUAGUCAGAUCGGUUCCGCAUACUAAUAGUACGUGCAACCGUCGCUAAAAAUAUCUCAAUUUUCCUGUAAUUCUAGAACUAAGAUCAACAUGAUGCAAUGUUUGUUAUUAAAACAGUAGCAUAUUUGGAUCACUGCAUGUACAUCAUUCUUUUUGAAGAAGUUUACAUAACCAUGUAUGUCGAAAGCGUUCUUAAGAUAACAUUCUGCAGAAUCAUGAUUAAUGGCACUUACAUGUUAUUUAACAGCUCAUUCCAAAGGCUUCAUUUUAAAAUGAUAUUGACGUAUUUUCGUUGGCACAAUGGCACUUAACGUGGAGCAAUUACGUUCAUAGCUCGACUGUGUAAUCAAACUCGCUCGUCGGCUCGUGUCUCAGAUAGUCUGGGAAUUUCGUAUUAGAUUGCUAUUAAACAGCUCAUUGAUAGUCAGCAGACAUGCGCCCUCCCAACUGAAGUAUCCCAGCCGUGCAACAAAACUCAUGAAUUACAUUGCGCUGCGCCGUUUCCAUAUUGAUUAUUGCUCUUGUUGCUUAAUAUAGAAAGAACAAUUUGACUUGUAACUUGCAGUAAUUAAAUAAUCCUUUCUUAUAUACAUUUGUUUGUUGCUUCAGCAAAUAAAUCGAUUUUUCUCAGUUUGUUAACCUUUGGUUGAUUACAAUAGAUUUUGUCAUUGAAACCCACACUUGUACACAGUAGGCGAUAUUCCCUACAGCCCUAGCCCUGUUACCCAGAAAAUAAUCACUUUUGUACAUGUUGUAUUGACUAGUAUUGAAAUUAUUGCGCUAGAUAACAUGUUAACCGGCUAAAUGAUUUCUAUUUUAAUCUCUCUUGUUUAAUUACAUAAUUCCCUCCAUUGUUUGCUGAAUCACUAAUAGUUUGCUGGUAUAAUCCUCAAAUUAAAUGACUAGUGCAAACUUACAAGUUACAAGCCAUGCUAAUUUGCGCCCCUAAUUGUUGAUCUUACACUAAACUUCUUAUUUACAUCAAGUCACCUGCUAAGUUUGUCAAUGUCGUCUAUGACAAGACAUUCUCAUUUUGAUAAAAGAGGCGAUUAAGGCCAGAAUGGAAUGUUUGGUCUGUACAAAUGGUGCAAUUAUAGUUCGUGCUAAUACUCUACAUUCAAUAGGAAAAAAUAUUCUGCAAAGUUGACUGUGUAUUCUCAUGCACCGCGAGUGUUGCCGCCGAUGGCGGUAAAUUAUUUUCGUCAGAUUAGCUGGAAAAUCUGAUUAUAGAACACAGCGGAACAUUUAACACAACCUUAAAUGCAAUUCACCUGGUCGGAAAUUAAAAUUGCAAGGCAACGUUUGUCUGUAAUUGCGGUUGGCGCGCAAUGAAUCGCGCAAGUUAUUUCUGCAUUUACUGCGUCUUGACGAUAAGUUUGAAGGAGAAGCUAGCGCACUGCCUCGGUAUAUUGAUCACAUCAUAGCCUAACUAAGAAAUGCAGUCAUAUGAUGACAAGCCUUCCUGUAAGCGUUUAUAAAUGUUAUUAAGUAUUUAAUACAAGCUUUCGACACUUUCUGGUAUGUUGCGGAUCGUGUGAAAAACGCUCAUGAGCGCUGCGUGAACUGUUUGACGCAGACAAUAAAAUCAACGCUUAAUUGCAUGCCAAGGAGACUUAAAAACAGAAAAGUCUGGGAGCCAGAGAAAUAAAUGGCACCUCGUUGUGAACAAUGCCGUUAACAUUUACGAUGAUAAUUCGUUGUGCUUUAAAUACAUCAGAUCAUUGUUGUUGAGCUUUGUAUUUAAAGUUGAACAGAUUUUGGAUUGCGUUAGAGGAGCGUUACACACAUAAUUAUAGCGCAAGUAACCGUGAAAGGUAAUUUAUUGUUAAUUUGAAUUGAUUUACUUCACCGGCAAUUAUACUUGCAGUGAAAUUGAAAACGAAUUCAUUAAAUAUCUAAGGGUUCUAGAAAAGCCUAUGUGCUAAAAACAUGUACUAUUUAUUUGGUUAAGAGGUGUGAACUUUACGCGCUGGCGUGAGAAGUGAAUGCAAAAGCUACUCCGCUGUCUUUCAAUUUACCCGUGCGAGGUUGACGUGUGUGGCCAGUGUGGGCGCAUGUUAAUACAUUCACUGUUAAAUCUAGAUGUUUAAUACGAACAGCCACUGGUUUCUCCAUACGAAUUACCUGUGUUCGCCUUUCAAUAGUUUACCUAUUGCGAGUUGCAAUUGUGAAGACUCACUCUACACAGGAACUCGCACGUUAUCAGUCGGAAAAACAUGUUUUUGUAUCAAUUAAAGAGCCGCGUUCGUUGCGUUUGCAUAUUGUUUUCAUCAAAUCAGAAACUCUCUGAGUUCUGUUUUGAUAACUGACGCGCUUGUCAGACAGCUGGCUCUUGAAAUACUGAGUACCGUAGACUUGAUGAUGAAACUAUGUGUUAGGUCUCUUCAUUAUAUACAUGACUUCAUCGAGUGAAGCACUCUGCGCUGAGGAUUACUGAAAUAAACAAUCUUACAUUCUUUCCUUUGCUAAAUAGGUGAAGUAACAAGUUUAUCAAAAAUGAUUUCCAAAUACAACACAGCGCUACUGGUUCUUAUAUUUAUCACGUUGGAUGGAAUAUGUACUAGUACUGCGAAACGAAUGCACGGAUGCAAACCUCGAAUUGGGAUUUCAACGAUAGAUAUACCUGGUUGUACAAAAAGAAGAAUUGCUAGCAAAGGUUGCGAUGGACAUUGUAUGUCUUCGGCUAUACCGAAAAUUUCUGGUUUUGGCGGUUUCGCCAAGACUUGCUCGUGUUGCUCUCCAAUUCAAAGUGUAACGAAAUACAUAACAUUGAAUUGUCAUAAAGGACCAAAAACUAGAACAGUAGCUUUGCCUUUGGCGACGAAAUGCAAGUGCCGGCCAUGUUAACAACAACCAACAAUUUUUUGUUAAACGCACUCGCCCAAUACAGAAUAGAUGCGUGUGGUCACGACCCUGAAUUUUGUUUCAUGACGAACAACGCCAAAGUAUUAGAUAUGGAAAGCGUAGACGUUGCCUUUGAUGGAACGGACAGUUUUUAUAUUAGAUGUACAAUAAAUGUGUAAAUAUAUCUAUCUUAUUGUAUACAUCUAACUGCGCAUUUUAUAUCCUUACUUGCAUGGUUUAUUGUCUUGAGCGUAUACAACAGGUAGUCGGUUCGGUAUGGUCUUUAACGACGUGCUUCCUAUAACUACAUGGAAGUUAUUAAAAUUUCUGAAGACUUCACACAAUUGCCAUUGUGUUCGAACAUUAAACAUUCACUAAACAGUUCUUGCAAAUCCAAGAAUGUUAUUUGUAAAUUAAAAAGAAAUGUAGAAGAAUUUAUAGAUGUGCAAUAUUCCUUGACCUUGUAUUUGAAAAAUUUUAAUAUUUCAUAUAAAAUAUAAUAUGUAAAAGGAAACUUUAGCAUUAUCACUGUAUACAUUUUUCUUUAUCCUUAAGACGACAUUAAUUAAAGAGACAUGUCAAGGUCCAUGUAUGGAUAAGUUCUGCAUGGCCAUGAUGGGCUGUGAUAAAAUUUCGUAGGUCGUUGUCCUUUUAUUCGUAGUGAUUGCGAUCGUUGAACUGAUUAGAUGGAAGAUAAUCCUAAAAACGUGGAUUUAAAUCGAAACAGCUCUGUUUUUAAUUAACUCAUAUAGCUAUGUACAUAUAUAUACUCGGACAUGGAUAUUUAUCUUCACAAUAUAUAUCAAGGCAUCGACAUCGUCGUUAAUCUUUACUAUAUGACGAGAGUUCUAUUUCGCUGCAACCAAUCUCCGUAAAUAUAUCGCAUUAGUUGAGACUAGCAUGCAGGAACCUAUCGUCGCAGGUUUAAACGUCGGGCUCAGAGGUUUAAACGUGG